rnacentral:rRNA from 1 species
CCGCUUUGGGAUGGGCCCGCGUCCAAUUAGCUAGUUGGUGAUGUAACGGACCACCAAGGCGACGAUUGGUAGCCGAACUGAGAGGUUGAUCGGCCACAUUGGGACUGAGACACGGCCCAAACUCCUACGGGAGGCAGCAGUGGGGAAUAUUGCACAAUGGGGGAAACCCUGAUGCAGCGACGCCGCGUGAAGGAUGAAGGUUUUCGGAUCGUAAACUUCUUUGAUGGGGGACGAAACAAAUGACGGUACCCCAAAAACAAGCCACGGCUAACUACGUGCCAGCAGCCGCGGUAAUACGUAGGUGGCGAGCGUUGUCCGGAAUUACUGGGUGUAAAGGGCGUGUAGGCGGGAAUGCAAGUCAGAUGUGAAAUGCCGAGGCUUAACCUCGGAGCUGCAUCUGAAACUGUGUUUCUUGAGUGUCGGAGAGGAAAGUGGAAUUCCCAGUGUAGCGGUGAAAUGCGUAGAUAUUGGGAGGAACACCAGUGGCGAAGGCGGCUUUCUGGACCAAAACUGACGCUGAGGCGCGAAAGCGUGGGGAGCAAACAGGAUUAGAUACCCUGGUAGUCCACGCCGUAAACGAUGAGUGCUAGGUGUCGGGGGUAUCGACCCCCUCGGUGCCACAGCUAACGCAAUAAGCACUCCGCCUGGGGAGUACGGUCGCAAGACUGAAACUCAAAGGAAUUGACGGGGGCCCGCACAAGCGGUGGAGUAUGUGGUUUAAUUCGACGCAACGCGAAGAACCUUACCAAGGCUUGACAUCCCGUGACAGCUAUGGAAACAUAGUCUUUCGGCUGGAAGCUGUAAGACAGGUGGUGCAUGGUUGUCGUCAGCUCGUGUCGUGAGAUGUUGGGUUAAGUCCCGCAACGAGCGCAACCCUUGUCCUUAGUUGCCACCAUUCAGUUGGGCACUCUAAGGAGACUGCCGGUGACAAACCGGAGGAAGGUGGGGAUGACGUCAAAUCAUCAUGCCCCUUAUGAGUUGGGCUACACACGUGCUACAAUGGACUGUACAAGGGCAGCGAAGCCGCGAGGUGGAGCCAAUCCCAGAAAGCCGUUCUCAGUUCGGAUUGCAGGCUGCAACUCGCCUGCAUGAAGUCGGAAUCGCUAGAAAUCGCAGGUCAGCAUACUGCGGUGAAUACGUUCCCGGGUCUUGUACACACCGCCCGUCACACCACGAGAGUUUGUAACACCCGAAGUCGGUGAGGUAACCUUAGGGAGCCAGCCGCCGAAGGUGGGACAGAUGAUUGG